rnacentral:lncRNA from 1 species
GUUUGUGGUGCUCGCCAUGGGGCAAAUGGGCCAAUUCUGGAGGCAUGGAAGACAUUUUCUGUGCCAGCAGGCGCUCAUCGCAGUGGGGAUUGCAGUAGGCAGCCCCAGGUGCUAAGCUGCUGUAGACUACAGUCUGCAGCUGUGGUGUGUCAGAGCCCCUGAGUGAGUGCACUUGGGUUAGUGGUGCUCCCAGGGGAGGAAGAGCUAACCCUACAGGACCUGAGGAACUCCUACCAGAUGGGGGACCUCAUUGCAGUUUUCCUUUCUGGAGCAACCACGGGAAAAAGUUUAGCAUCACCUCAGAGACACCAGCCUGUGAAUCAAUAUGUAAAUAACCACCACCAAUUACCCCUUGAAGGCUGCAAAUGAAAAUGUUGCAUGCUGAGAUUAUUCAAAUUCUCAACAGGAAGAGAGGCAGAGGGUCUUCAGUGGAAAAGAAUUUCACCAGUAAAUCAUUCUUUGAGGAAGAAAUCCAACAUUUUGAAGUGAUUCUGCUAGAAUGAUAUCCACAUUCCUUAAUUUUAACUACUGCAGAUGUUGUUUACCAUAUCUCUACCUCCCAAGCCCAUCCUACAAAACAGUCACUCUGUGUUGGAAACAGAAAUUACAUCCUCUAAGAAUUUCCAUAUUGGCAGAGGAAAUUUAACUCCCUGCAUGAUUAAUGGCCCAGGCAGUGCUCUAUCAAACACAGAGUGUGCACUGGGGUGUUGGAUGCCUCUGACAGCCCAGGAGUGAUGAUCCUUGGGAGGGAUGCAAAGCAGACCGUGACAGAAUUGCCGUUGCCGACGCCUCCUGCCACAUCAAUAAAACGGCGGCGCACAACA